UACGGAGGGUGCGAGCGUUGUCCGGAAUCAUUGGGCGUAAAGGGCGCGUAGGUGGCCCGGUCAGUUCGUGGUGAAAGCGCGGGGCUCAACCCUGCGUCGGCCAUGAAUACUGCCGCGGCUGGAGCACUGUAGAGGCAGGCGGAAUUCCGGGUGUAGCGGUGGAAUGCGUAGAGACUCCGGAGGAACACCUGUGGCGAAAGCGGCUCACUGGACCAUAACUGACGCUGAUGCACGAAAGCUAGGGGAGCAAACAGG
rnacentral:rRNA from 1 species